UACGAGGGGUGCAAGCGUUGCUCGGAAUUAUUGGGCGUAAAGGGUAGGUAGGUGGUCUCAUUUGUCUGGGGUGAAAGCCUCGAGCUUAACUCGAGAAGUGCCUCGGAAACGGUGAGACUAGAGUCUUGGAGAGGGUCGUGGAAUUCCUGGUGUAGCGGUGAAAUGCGCAGAUAUCAGGAGGAACACCGGUGGCGAAGGCGGGUCUCUGGGCCGUAACUGACGCUGAGGAGCGAAAGCGUGGGGAGCGAACAGG
rnacentral:rRNA from 1 species